rnacentral:rRNA from 1 species
GGUGCCAGCAGCCGCGGUAAUUCCAGCUCCAAUAGUGUAUAUUAAAGUUGCUGCGGUUAAAAAGCUCGUAGUUGGAUUUUCGGAGUUGUUAUCUGAACCUUCUCGCCCUAAAAAGUGGGGGGGCUAAGGUAGCAGUAGUUUUCAUCAUAGUCCAUCAGGAUACUCUCUUGAUGUGUACUGGGUGUUUAACCUCCUUUUUUUCUGGUACUUGCUAUCCAGCAAUGGGUAGUUUUGUCCAGAUAGUUUACUUUGAAAAAAUUAGAGUGUUCAAAGCAGGCAUAAUUGGCAUCAUGAAUACAUUAGCAUGGGAUAAUAGAAUAUGACAUUGGUCUUAUUUUGUUGGUUUCUAAGCCAAAGUAUGAUUGAUAGGGAUAGUUGGGCCGCUCGUAUUGAGUUGUCAGAGGUGAAAUUCUAGGUAUUUACUUCAAGACGAACUAAUG